GUCGCAGCCCGGGGGCUGGGGAGGAGACGCGUGGAGGGUGCGGAGAGAUGGGGUACGGAUCCAAGACUCGGACGGUACCGGGUACGACACGAGAGGCCGGAAAAGGCGCGGGGAGGGGCCGGCCGGUGUCAGGUCCGGGAUCACCCACCCAGAUCCAAAGCGCCGCCGCCCCUUCCCGCCUCCCGCCGCCCCUUCUCUUCUCCGACAAGGGAGUCCCGCCGGCGCCAGGACGAGGGACUUCGGGCUUUUCGCGCCACCCGGGAAGCCCGCAGGGACCGCGCCGAGGCUUCCGACCCCGCCGGGCUUCAGCGCCCCUUCCGGAGACUGGUCGUCAGCGGCCGGGGCGGGCCUGCGUGGGAAACGCAGCGCGGAGUGGCCCGGCCGCAUCCCCACUCGCGAGGGCGGCAGGGGCGAAGGGGGCCCGCGAGGGAAGAGCGGAGCCAGGCUGCCAACGGAGGAGGGGUGUACUGCAGCGGCUGGAGGCGGGAAGGUAGAACAGCGAUCGCGCGAAAUCCCCUCCGAAAGAACCAGCUAACCGGAGGAUCGACCUCUCCUCCCUCCUCCCGUCAGGAUGUUCUCUGCUUCUCCGGUUCUGAUCCUUCCCAAACUGCGCCCCUGACCUUUAGGAUGAGCAGGAACCUCCCAUGUUUUCAGCUCAAAACAGAGAGGGGAAGAUUCUGGAAGUGUGGGACUCCUCCGGGGGACACUGGGGCCUGAGCGAGCCAAGACCUCUUUCCCUUCUUGCAGGAAGGGGACCUCAGCUCUGGGCUGGAGGCUGGAGGGAAGACUGGCCUCAGCAAGGCUCCCUCCAGCCUCCAGCCCACUCCCCAGCCCUGGCUCAGGCUCAGCAGGGCACUACUGGUUCACCCACCCUGUGCGGCGAACGGGAGCCUAAGUCAUAUGCAGCAGCUGGCAGCAGAUCCCAGAUUCGGGGUGCCUCCAGGAGCAUGGAGAGCAGUCGGUGGGCUCCUCGGAGCUGCUGCCCCACCAGGGAGCCGACGCCACCCUGCACUCCCCUAAGUGACUCGAAGCAGAGACACCUGGAGCUGGAAUAGGGUUAACACAGGCCUCUCCUGUGACCUUGGAGCCUUGAAUGCUAGGUGGUCCCUGGGUGGGUGCCGUCCAAGGGACCACUGUUGAUCCCCAGGCCUGCCCAGGUUGUCUUACUGUGAGUGUGCCCAACCUAGGACAAAGCCAAGCUGGUUAGAGCCAAGCGAAUGGCCAGUGGGUUAAGCUGGUGCGUCCCUCAAGGACAGAACAUGCUGGAAUAACAGGGCCCUGAGGCUCCCUACUAGAAUGGUCACAGGGUGUUCCCCAGCAUUUCCCUCUGCGGGCUUAGCUUCCACAGGGUCUCCAGGCCCUUACCUCAGGGGAAGGCUUCCAGGUGCCAAUACUUCACAGACACACACCCUGGAAUAGGGAGCACCGAGCCAGUGGGAGAGGAGAGGAGACAGGCAGGGAUAGAGUAUCCACUCGCUCCACUGUUCCCUCUUGUCCCCUCCCAGGUGCCCUGCAGUUCAGAAUACACAGGAGGACCCUGUUCCUCCAGGACAGGUGCAAAAAAAGAAACUUCCCUAAACACUCUCACAGAGCGCUGUAAGCAGAAGAAGAGGAAAACUCUCCCCCCUCCAGCACCAUGAGACCAACCUUUCAGCCACUGCUGUAUUUUUGUUGAGAGGGAAGAGUACAGGACGCAGGUUUUUUGUUUUCCUAGUAGAGACUCCCUCAUCAAAUCAGACUUAAUUGGAAUUCCUCAAAAACCAAUGCCAAGAGAAACAUGGACGUAUUUAGCUGACUUCUGAAAAUACAUAUAUCAAAAUUCCCCCAUGUGGCUAGAUAAAGAAGGAGGCCCUUCUGCCUUUUACUGUGGCCUGAGCUCUGGGAGGUGUUCAGUUUGAAUAGAAGGUACAGACUAAGGAGAGAACACCCUCCACACGCACAAAGAAAAAGACAGCGGUCUAAACUGCCCUGACUGCGUCCACAUGGACCCCCAUUCUGUCCAUGUUCCCGUGAAGCAAUUUCUAUGUGAUUUUGACCGGGCUUGCUGGACAACCCAGCUCCCACUGCUCUGGUUCAAGGGUAUCUGUCUUGAUUCCAAUGGAGACAGGGAUAGAAGCCAAGAAGGACCCCGAGGAGAACCCGGCACCUGCAGGGGAGUUGGAAUUGGUUGAAUAUCAAGCCAUGCUGUUCCCUUUUCAGACAAGAAACUACCUGGAGGGUGGUAAACGGGACAGCCUCUGGAGGGCAGGGACAAUCUCUGACAUCUUCUUUGUCCAGGAGGAAACAAAGUAGGUAAACUACAGGCAGAAUAUGUGGAGAACACAGUGGGCCAGGAAGUGAUGGUGAAGUCUGUGUGCGCGUGCACGUGUGCAUCCGCUAGUCUGGGCUCGCCGUUUGUGGGUGUUGUGGUGGGGAGCCAGGGUAUUGAUCAGCUGUAGAUGGGUGAAGAGAGAGGAUGGGGCUCAUGUCUGUCUGUGGGGUUCUGUGUCCAUGGCCACCCGCACUCCCUUUGAGCACGGAAGACCUACUAACUGGACAGGCAGGCCUGCGGGAGGCCAGGACCCGGAGCAAAAUGGGUAGGCACCCUUUGGGUCGCCCGCCAGCCUCAGCUUCUCCAAGAAGGCCUUGGCCAGAGCACAUGGCACAGCUCGCUAGGGUCUCUCUGAGUGAUGACCUGUGGACCCCACCCGGAGUUCUCCGAGGGAAAUUCUGGGGGGCUCUGGGGAGAGUGCCCUGAGUCCCUGUGGGGAUGUGAGUCUGUGUCCCUCUCAGCCAGGAGCCUGUGGUGGGUCCCUGCUGUGCCCUCAGCACUGUGAGCUGCUCACCUAUUGUCUUUGCGGGAAGGAAGGGGACUGUGGAGAGGAAAACAUGGCCAGAAUUAUGCACUCUGGACAGAGCUUUGGGAUAAAUCUUUAUAAUUUGGGUCCCAAAACACAUUUUGGCAGUGAACUACUCUCUUGAAAUAUUCAGGUAAUUCAAUAAAAAAUAUAUUUUCUCUUUGUUUCAGUUACCAGGUUAAUUUGCCUUAAAGACGCAGAUGAAAGCCGCAUUUGAGAGAGGCUAGGUGCAGAUAUUUAUUUCUGUCUUAUGAAUGCAUCCUCAUUUUGAACAUUAUCAUACAUUAUUCUUUUGCUAUAGAAUAUUUGCAUUGUCUAUGGGAUUGGGACAAAUAAAAGUGGGA